ACGUUUAACUGAUGAUAUAAUUUGCGAUUAAGGACGGAUCUCCUGGAACAUGCCUAGUUCUAUUAUGGGGGGUCUCGUGGUAUGCGGACAAUUUUUUCGACUGACAUUUUU
rnacentral:snoRNA from 1 species